UACAGAGGUCCCAAGCGUUGUUCGGAUUCGCUGGGCGUAAAGGGUGCGUAGGUGGUGAGGUAAGUCGGAUGUGAAAGCUCGGAGCUCAACUCCGAAAUGGCAUUGGAAACUACCUUGCUCGAGGGUUGGAGGGGGGACUGGAAUACUUGGUGUAGCAGUGAAAUGCGUAGAUAUCAAGUGGAACACCAGUGGCGAAGGCGAGUCCCUGGACAACUCCUGACACUGAGGCACGAAAGCUAGGGGAGCAAACAGG
rnacentral:rRNA from 1 species